rnacentral:rRNA from 1 species
AGUGAACGCUGGCGGUAGGCCUAACACAUGCAAGUCGAACGGCAGCACAGUAAGAGCUUGCUCUUACGGGUGGCGAGUGGCGGACGGGUGAGGAAUACAUCGGAAUCUACUUUUUCGUGGGGGAUAACGUAGGGAAACUUACGCUAAUACCGCAUACGACCUACGGGUGAAAGCAGGGGAUCUUCGGACCUUGCGCGAUUGAACGAGCCGAUGUCGGAUUAGCUAGUUGGCGGGGUAAAGGCCCACCAAGGCGACGAUCCGUAGCUGGUCUGAGAGGAUGAUCAGGCAGACUGGAACUGAGACACGGUCCAGACUCCUACGGGAGGAAGCAGUGGGGAAUAUUGGACAAUGGGCGAAAGCCUGAUCCAGCCAUACCGCGUGAGUGAAGAAGGCCUUCGGGUUGUAAAGCCCUUUUGUUGGGAAAGAAAAGCAGCAGGUUAAUACCCCGCUGUUCUGACGGUACCCAAAGAAUAAGCACCGGCUAACUUCGUG